CGGUGAUAAACCGGAGGAAGGUGGGGACGACGUCAAGUCAUCAUGGCCCUUACGUGUAGGGCUACACACGUGCUACAAUGGCGCAUACAGAGUGCUGCGAACCUGCGAGGGUAAGCGAAUCACUUAAAGUGCGUCGUAGUCCGGAUUGGAGUCUGCAACUCGACUCCA
rnacentral:rRNA from 1 species